UUGGGUGACACUGGGGUGAUACUGGGUGACGUUGGGUGACACUGGGUGACACAGGGGUGUCAUUGGGUGACGCUGGGUGACACUGGGGUGAUACUGGGUGACGUUGGGUGACGCUGGGUGACACAAGGGUGACAUUGGGUGACGUUGGGUGGCAGAAGGAUGAGGUCGGGUGACGUUGGGUGACACAGGGGUGAUGUUGGGUGACACGGGGGUGACACUGGGUGACGCUGGGUGACACCAGGUGACAAGGGGGUGACGUUGGGUGGCACAGGGGUGACACCGGGUGACACAAGGGUGACGUUGGGUGACACGAGGGUGGCACUGGGGGAUGCUGGGUGGCACCGGGUGACAGGGGGGGUGACGGGGGGGGUGACAUCACGUGACAAGGGGGGGGGUGACAUCACGUGACCCCGGGGCGACGCCCCCCACCCCCACCCCCGCCCUCACCGGGCAGCAGCGGCUCGCGGGGGUUGACCUCCUCCGGGCCGGGCACGCUGAUGACGUCAGCGGCGGGGGGCGUGGCCGGGGGCUCGUGGGCGAGGCGGAGGCGGGGCCUGUUGAGGGUGGGCAGGCGGAGGGCCCCCACCGCCCCCACGUUGCAGCCCAGGUGGGCACCCACCAGCAGGGCCACCAGCACCCAGCUCAGCCUGCGGGGGUGGGGGGGGGGCGUUUCCCAUCAGCCCCCGGG
rnacentral:lncRNA from 1 species